GACGAACGCUGGCGGCGUGCUUAACACAUGCAAGUCGAACGGAAAGGCCCUGCUUUUGUGGGGUGCUCGAGUGGCGAACGGGUGAGUAACACGUGAGUAACCUGCCCUUGACUUUGGGAUAACUUCAGGAAACUGGGGCUAAUACCGGAUAGGAGCUCCUGCUGCAUGGGGGGGGUUGGAAAGUUUCGGCGGUUGGGGAUGGACUCGCGGCUUAUCAGCUUGUUGGUGGGGUAGUGGCUUACCAAGGCUUUGACGGGUAGCCGGCCUGAGAGGGUGACCGGCCACAUUGGGACUGCGAGACGGCCCAGACUCCUACGGGACGCAGCAGUGGGAAAUAUUGCACAAUGGGCCGAAGCCUGAUGCAGCAACGCCGCGUGCGGGAUGACGGCUUUCGGGUUGUAAACCGCUUUCGCCUGUGCCGAAGCGUGCGUGACGGUACUGGGUAAAGAAGCACCGGCUAACUACGUG
rnacentral:rRNA from 1 species